ACUCGCUUCAGCAGCCAGAUACUAAAACUGGAACGAUUCAGAGAAGAUUAGCAUGGCCCCUGCAGAAAAGUGACAUGCACAUUGCCCAAGUGUUCCAUGUUUUU